rnacentral:rRNA from 1 species
AAGAGACAGCAGCAGCCGCGGGAAAACGGAGGGUGCAAGCGUUAAUCGGAAUUACUGGGCGUAAAGCGCACGCAGGCGGUCUGACAAGUCAGAUGUGAAAUCCCCGGGCUUAACCUGGGAACUGCAUUUGAAACUGUCAGGCUGGAGUCUUGUAGAGGGGGGUAGAAUUCCAGGUGUAGCGGUGAAAUGCGUAGAGAUCUGGAGGAAUACCGGUGGCGAAGGCGGCCCCCUGGACAAAGACUGACGCUCAGGUGCGAAAGCGUGGGGAGCAAACAGGAUUAGAUACCCCAGUAGUCCCUGUCUCUUAUAC